UCUUCCUGUGGUUUUCAACUUCUUAUGGUGUGGUGCCGAGACAGCGAAGAACUCCUCUUUCGUAUAUAUUCAUUUGCUCCGAUUAAAACCCUAGCUUUCUCUUUGCCUCUUCUUCCUGUCCCCUUUUUCUGUGUGUGGCGCCUUUCUAUCAGAAUCGCUUGAUUUCCUGGAUCAGAGUUUCAAAUCCAUGUUAUUUUUUGGCCUUUGAGGUUGGCUUAGGGUGGAGUGGCGGAUCUGUUGUAGUGUUCUCUGACGACGACAACGGUUUGGAUCUACGAGGCAUCGAAGGCGUUCGAUGGGGCAGGGGAGCGGCCCUGAGCCUAGAGCAUUGGUGCUCGCAGAUAAUCAACCAGCUGGAAAAACUGAUUGGAGAAGUUGAGAAGAUUUGCUGGCCUCAAGGAUACCCAUUUUUUCACGGCAGUCAGUGGUGAAUAACUUCUUCACAUUCGACACUUCAAACAUAAAUUUGCAUGCAUUGGAUGUAUAGGAUUCGAAAGCACAGGUUAGUGCAAUUCAUUGGAUAAUUGAGGCUCUCCAGAGGAUGCAUUUAUUUGGUGUUGAGAACUGAGAUUUUUAACUCACAAUGCCACAGGGAAGCCAGACAAGUUGGUUUAUAUUGCCACCUAUGAGAUUCUUUAGAGAUUUCAAAACCUCUGCGUAAUACUCUGAAAAUUGAUGACAAUAUGGCCUUUCUUGAUUACAUAAACAAUACAAGGUUCAAAAGGAUGAUCUGCUUAAUUUUUCGUGUCAGAUCAGGAGAAUGCCAAUUGAGGAACUUUGCCUUCAGACACUCCUGGUAUCACAGAUUAUGUAAUGGCAGAGCUUGAAAAGUUGGGUCAGAAAUAUCGUGUGGCUUUGAGGUUUGUCCGUAUCAGAAGAAGAGUUGCAGCUGUGGGAUGAAGUCUUGAUGUUUAUAUAUUGAUGGGUGCCUCUGUAAAUUUAUAGUUAGUACAUUUAUUGUAUUAUACAAUUUAAAAUACAUUAUAAAGUACAGUACAAGAAUGUAAAGGUGCCAAAUGGCACCUUAUUUUUUUAAUAUAACCUCAUAAAUUUGCCACUGAUAUCAGUGGUAUUCCAAAGCCACUAAUAUCAGUGUGAAUUUAGAUGCUGACUUCAUCUUGGAUGAAGUGAUGACACUGUUGUUUUAUCAGUGCCUAUUGUCCCAAUAGCACCUGCAAUAGAGGGGACUGAUUCUUCAUUAGUGGCUGCAUAGUGGCUAAUGAGAUUACCCACUC